rnacentral:rRNA from 1 species
AUACGUAGGUGACAAGCGUUAUCCGGAUUUACUGGGCGUAAAGGGCGUGUAGGCGGUCUUGCAAGUCAGAAGUGAAAUUCCUGAGCUCAACUCGGGCGCUGCUUCUGAAACUGCAGGACUUGAGUGCUGGAGGGGAUAGCGGAAUUCCUAGUGGAGCGGUAAAAUGCGCAGAUAUUAGGAAGAACACCGGUGGCGAAGGCGGCUAUCUGGACAGUAACUGACGCUGAGGCGCGAAAGCGUGGGGAGCAAACAGGAUUAGAUACCCUGGUAGUCCACGCCCUAAACGAUGAAUACUAGGUGUGGGGGGACUGACCCCUUCCGUGCCGGAGUAGACACAAUAAGUAUUCCACCUGGGGAGUACGACCGCAAGGUUGAAACUCAAAUGAAUUGGCGG